UGAAACCCUACUCUUUUCUCUCCAGUUCGUUGGCGUCGCAUUGCUCUCCUUCUCAUCUUCCCUGAAAACCCACCGCGAUUUUCUUUCAAUCAUUUCCUCUUCGAUUUCCGUUUGUUUUCUGGUAGCAACUGUGUUUUGGUUUAAGGAUUCAAUGGUGGAACUGUGUAAUACGAGAACAUUAGCUUUUCGGUUUGGGAUGUUGGGUUUGUGUCAUCAUUAACAUGAGAUUCGACCUUAUGGCGACGCUGUUUCCAAAAUACCCCAAGGGUUAAUUGUCGUGGUUGACAGCAAUGAUUGGGACCGUGUUGUUGAGGAGAGGAAUGAGAUGCACAGGAUGUUGAUGGAGACACAUGUAUUGCUAAUUAAUGGUAGAUUCAAAAACCAAUCAAGGAAAAAAAACCACAAUACUUUCUAAAGACCGGACCAGGUUGGAUUGACCGAACUGGGUGAAACAGGUCAAACAGGGUCGGAUAGGAAUGUUUGUUUCAAAAUUAUACAUAUACUAAAACUUGCCACAAAAUCACGGUUCAUUAACAGUGAAUGGACUAAGGUGCCCUCUAAUUUUUUUUUGUUAUUAGCUGUUUUUCACUUUUCACAUAGCAAAAAAAUCGUUUUGACCUCCA